UUGGUGGACUCUCUUCCAAUUUGUCUAACCCUGGCGGCAAAAAAAAACCCCUCAAGGGCAUCAGACAGCUGAUGGAUUUAAAAAGAACCUGGGAAAUCAUGAGUCAGAGGAGAAGAUAACCUAGGAGAUUUUGAAAGAUGGAACCUUUGUCCUUCCAGUAAAAGCCCUUAACACACAAGGAAAAGAAAAAAAGAGAGAGAAACAGGAAGAGCAAGAGAAAAAGAAUGAGAAAAAUUAUUUCCAAACUUCAAUCCAACAAAAUCAACAAGGGAAUCCUGAUGGCUCAGUACUCUUUUGUAUAGAUCUUCAAACCAAGGACAACGUGAAAGCUUGUAAAAGUCAUUUUUAUAAAACCAAAUAAACUCAAGCCUGUCUAAA